AACACCAUUCAAUAUAGUUGAACCAUUUUAUUACGUUGAUUAUAUGUAUUAUAAUUCUUUGUCUUUGAAAUAUCUAUUAUCUCUUCUGACGAAGCUUCAUUGUUAGCUUUUGUGAUGGCAGCAAAUGAAUUAAAUCCUUCUGAUAAUACCCAAAGGAAUGAUAAAGAGCAUGUUUCCCCAUCUGAGCAAGUUCUUUCAGCUAAAGUUACUCCUGUUGUUGCAAAAAGAUGUGAAUCUAAAAAAGAGAAUAUUUCUAUUAAUUCAAAUGUUGUUAAAUUCAAAAUACAAUGCAGUUCAUCUAGUUCUGUUCCAUCUACAUCCUCAGUUACCCUUAUUUCUAGAACUACAUGUCAGUCUAAUAUAAGAACUUCUGAUUUGGCUACUAGUGUUGCAAAUAAUGCUAGUGAACCUAUUACAACAUGGAAAUCUCCACAUCUAAGUAUAAAACAGAAUGAUGUGUCAGAUAUGUCUUUUAAAGGAGACAAUUUACAGCAAUUGAGCACUAAUGCUCUGCCACCGUAUCGUCCCGGAUCUCCUCCGGGUUUUUUAAAAUCUGACUCAAGGGUAGAGUUUCAUUAUUGCACAGAUUGUGGCGACGCAUUUGCUGUGAAAGAUAGUUUAAAAUUUCACCUUGAGCGCCGCUCUGUUCUCAUUAAGUUUCCAUGCGAUACAUGUAAAACUCAACAGGUAUUUUAUAAUCGUUGUAAUUUAUUGUCACAUAUAAGGUCCCAUUCAGAUAAAGGUGAAGCUGCAGAUAUCAGUAAAGCAACUGUUAGUCCACUGCCUCGAGUGUGUAUGGAUGGAAUAAAUUUUGAAUUUGUAAACAAUCUUGAUGAUGAACUGAAUGCUAUAGAUGAUACUGAUCUGACACCUCCAGCUGACCUCUUAGAAUUUUCAAUUAAGGAAAUUGAUGAUGAUAAUAACAUGGAGAAAAAAAUUCCUGAGAAGGAAAAUGAUGUCAGUGUUAUAAAGGUGAAAUGUUUAGACUGUAAUGAAGAAUUUGAAAGUGCCAAAGAUAGAAUAGAGCAUCUUACUAAUGGUGACAAAAUACCAGCCAUUAUUUCUCAGUGUAGUAAAUGUGGUAUGGUAUGUCCUUCGAAAUGUAGUUUAAAAGCCCAUCAAAGAAUCCAUCUCCAGAUCAGUCCGUAUGUUUGUCCUGAAUGUGGAGACAGUCCAGAUCCUCACUGGACAAAUUUUACGCACCAUGUUAAUUUUAAAUGUUUUCACAAUGCCCGUAGUAUAGGUUAUAAAUGUCCUGUUUGUAAAAGGGUCUCACCCAGUAACGAAGCUCUGCUGAAACAUAUGGAAUUGCAUACAGAAAGAUAUGCUAAAUGUGAGUCUUGUCCUCGUGCUUAUAUGACUACUAGUGCUUUUGAGGCACAUAAUACUAUGUACCAUGGUGGAAAGGAUGUGUGUUUUAAUCUGAUUUAUAAGUGUUCUUUAUGUGACAUCGUGUUUUUAAGGAGUGAUCAAAUGCUGACCCAUAGAUCAGCUCAUCUUAAAGAGCAAAUAUGUGAGUAUGUUUUCAAUUGCAUGCAGUGUGGCAAGACUUUAGGAAGCAAAACUGAGUUAUAUGACCAUAUAAGAACCACUCAUCCAAAAAUUUAUAAAGUUGUUUUGCAGAAUGAAACAACAGCUGCUAAGUCAGUUGCUCCCACACCUGUCUCAUAUAGAGGAAAAGUCGAAUGCAUGUACUGUCAUUGUGUUUUUCAUAGUCACCAAGGUUACAGUGUUCAUAUUCAAAGAGUCCAUAUAAAUAUCAAUCAACCUUGUACUUAUUGUUAUACAAUAAUACGAAACAGGAAAGGCAUGAUAAUCCACGGAAAAAAACAUUUAGAAAGUGGUAAGGUAGUGUGUCUGUUGUGCAAUAAUGCAAAAUAUAAUGAUAAAAAUACUUUAGAUGCACACUUAGUUGAGCAUAUAGAAAAUUUAGAAUUUUGUACUUUUUGCCCAAUAUGUGAUAGUAUAUUGCCCUCAGUUGAUGCUGCUAAGAAACACCUACGCGAGGAACAUCGUCUUAUUGAAAAAAAUGCAUCGAGUAGUGAAUGCAAGGAAAAUGAAGCUGCCGUCAUGAGGCAAAUAACCUGCCAUUUUUGCAGAAUAGCAUUUGAUACUGGAUAGGAUGGAUGACAGAGCACUGAAAUGGUAUAGAAACAAUUUGAGAUCAAUCAUAUAUGGUAACAAGGGGCAUUGUACUGUUGAAACUGACCAUCUGCAUCGGGAGUAUUGUAGCCAUAAACAAGUGUACAUGAUCGGUACUGGUACUGAGUUAAUGAAGAAUCACUUCAGGACCAUUUAAAGCUACAGCAUAACAUUGGCAGUGCAAAUCAGCAAAAUAACCAGUCAAGUAAUAAUGUAGUCCAUGAAACAGUAGCAAAGAAACGACAAUCCACUGAAGGAAAU
rnacentral:misc_RNA from 1 species